rnacentral:rRNA from 1 species
CAGCAGCCGCGGUAAUACGGAGGGAGCUAGCGUUGUUCGGAAUCACUGGGCGUAAAGCACACGUAGGCGGCUAUUCAAGUCAGAGGUAAAAUCCCGGGGCUUAACCUUGGAACUGCCUUUGAAACUAGGUAGCUAGAAUCUUGGAGAGGCGAGUGGAAUUCCGAGUGUAGAGGUGAAAUUCGUAGAUAUUCGGAAGAACACCAGUGGCGAAAGCACUCUGCUGGGCCGACACUGACACUGAGAGACGAAAGCUAGGGGAGCAAAUGGGAUUAGAUACCCGUGUAGUCCCUGUCUCUUAUAC